GCCUUGUUAGCUCAGUUGGUAGAGCAUUGGACAUUUAAUCCAAAGGUUGUGGGUUCAAGUCCCACAUAGGGCG
rnacentral:tRNA from 1 species